rnacentral:rRNA from 1 species
AUGGCGCUGCCGGUGAGCCCACGCGCCAAGGAGAAGAUGCUGCUCCGCAAUGAUGACCUUGCGCCAAGCAGCGACGAGGAGGAUCCCUAUGCGCCACCGGACUUGGUCGCGCCUGACCCUCCCACCGAGGAGUGGUUUUGGAGUCAGUUUGACCUCGCUCUGUGGAAGAUGUUGCCACUGGCUGAAAAAGCCAGGCGUGUGGCGGCCAUGAAGGCGGACGAGAAGAAGCGCGAGGAGGAAGAGGCGGCUAAGGCCGCCAGGAAGGUGGAGGAGAUGGAGCUCUGGCGGGAGGCGCGUUGGCAUGCGCAGGAGGUUGAUGAAGGCGGCUGCUUCAACGCCAAGAGGGCCAGAGGCGCUUCGCGCCUCCUUGCUGCAUGGAGGUGGGCGGAUCGCGUCGAGAAGGCCAUCAACGAAGAGCUCACCUACGCGCUGUCUACAAUGGCCAGGGCGGAGGCCUACGCCCGCCGGGAAGCCGCCGAUGCACAUGUUGUGGAGUGUGAGGCGGAGGAGGUCAGCUCCCUCCGCGCUGGGAAGCCGGUGCGCACCAGGGAGUCUGUGGCCAGACGCAGGGAAAGGGCCCUCAUGAGGGACUAUUGA